UACAGAGGUCUCAAGCGUUGUUCGGAUUCAUUGGGCGUAAAGGGUGCGUAGGCGGCGCGGUAAGUCGGGUGUGGAAUCUUGGAGCUUAACUCCGAAACUGCAUUCGAUACUGCCGUGCUUGAGGACUGGAGAGGAGACUGGAAUUUACGGUGUAGCGGUGAAAUGCGUAGAUAUCGUAAGGAAGACCAGUGGCGAAGGCGGGUCUCUGGACAGUUCCUGACACUGAGGCACGAAGGUCAGGGGAGCGAACAGG
rnacentral:rRNA from 1 species